rnacentral:siRNA from 1 species
AUACCUUUCUCUGAUAUCUUGUGA